GGCUGAAAUUGCCUUCAUGAAGCUGGAAUUGCUAGUAAUGGCAGGUCAGCAUACUGCCGUGAAUACGUUCCCGGGCCUUGUACACACCGCCCGUCACACCAUGAGAGUUGGAAAUACCCGAAGCCUGUGAGCUAACUUAAAGAGGCAGCAGUCGAAGGUAGAGCCAAUGAUUGGGGUGAAGUCGUAACAAGGUAGC
rnacentral:rRNA from 1 species